GGUUCGAGUCUAGCCUGUGGCCCUUUGCUGCGUGUUAUCCCCCAUCUCUCUCUCCCCUGUCACAUGUCUAUCCUCUGUCACAUUCUAAGUAAAGAGAAA